rnacentral:rRNA from 1 species
GCCUAUUUUUUAUUUAUUUUAAUCUUUUUAUUUUAAUUUUUAAUAAAAAUAUUUUAUUUUUUAGUAUUUUUUGGAAUUAAUAUUUUUUAAUUAUAGUUGAUAGUACUGUGAAGGAAUAUAAUUAAUUUAAUAUAAGUAUUUUUUAUUUAAAAUACCUUUUGCAUCAGGGUUUAUUAAUUUAAUAAAGUUAUUUUAUUUUCUCGAAAUUUCAAGAUUUAAGUUAUAAUGUUUUUUAUUGUUUCAUAAAUAUAUAUAAUUUUAACUUAGAGGUUAUAUGCUUAUUCAAUUGAAAUUAUAUCUAGUUGGCUAAUAAAUGAAUUUAAUUCAGAACUAAAUUUGUUUUUAUUUAAUUUAAUUAUAUAGAAAAUAUUUAGUUUAAAUAUCUUGGGGAUAAGCUUGAGUAUAUUUGUUAAAAAUUUUUCAUUUAAGAUUUUUUUUAGGAUUAAUAAUUUUCAUUUUUAUUUUGUUAUAAUUAUCUUUCUUUUUAUAUGAUUUUUUUUAUUUUAAUUUUUUAUUAGUCUUUUUUUAUAAAUUUUAUAUAUUAAUUAAUAAUGAUAAAAUUAGUAAUUUUUUUAAUUUAAAUAUAAUAAUUCGGCAAAUUUAAUUUUCACCUGUUUAACAAAAACAUGGUCUUUUGUUUUUUAUAUAAGAUCAGACCUGCCCAUUGAUUUUUAAAUAUUAAAAGGCUGCGGUAUUUUAACUGUACUAAGGUAGCAUAAUCAUUUGCCUUUUAAUUGGGGGCUAGUAUGAAUGGUUUGAUGAAAGAUUAACUUUCUUUAUUUAAUUUAUUUGAAUUUAAUUUUUUAGUUAAAAAGCUAAAAUUUUUUUAUAGGACGAGAAGACCCUAUAGAAAUUUAUUUUUUAUAUAAAUUUUGAUUUUUGGAUAAUAUUUUUGAAUUUUAGAAUAAAAAAUUUUGUUGGGGUGACAGUAAAAUUUAUAUAACUUUUAUUUUUAUUUUCAUAAAUAAAUGUUUUUUUUUGAUCCAGAAUUUUUGAUUAGAAGAUUAAUUUACCUUAGGGAUAACAGCGUGAUUUUUUCGGAGAGUUCAUAUCGAUGAAAAAGUUUGCGACCUUGGUGUUGAUUUAAGAUUAGUUUUGGGUGCAAAAUUUCAAACUACUUGGUCUAAAAUACUAAUAUUAACCUCCAUAUUUAAAGUAACGAAUUCACGAUCAGUUUGAUAUUAAUUUAAUUGAAAUCAAGAAAAAUGGCUUUAAUAUAAGCUAGAACAAGAAAAAAGGACAUUAAUGUAACAUAUAACAUGAAAGAUGUCAUUCAUAUUCUUUAUAACAAAGAAUUAC